UCAAAAGAGUUAAUUAAAAGGAUUAAUUUCAUAUAGACUCCUACAAAUAUAUUUUUACAAAGUUCAACUUUUAUAUAUUGUUUCUGCAAAAGUCCUGAUAUUUUUUCAAAUAUAUCUUUCUAGUUUGUUACCAUUAAAAAAAUAUUUAUAUUUUAUAUUUUGCCAUCACAAAUAUAUCUUUCCGAAAGGCAUAACAGUAUAUUAUAAAAGUAUAAAAAUAUCAAAAACUAACCGAGCUAAAUUUUUCUAACAGAUUCUUACAGCAGGAAUAUAUUUGAAAAUAUCAAGACUUUUGCAGGAACAACGUAUAAAAGUUGAACUUCGUAAAAAUAUAUUUGGUAUUCACUAUAUUUACAGAAGCUUGUAUGAAAUUAAUCCUAAUUAAAAACAAUGUGUUAAUU
rnacentral:lncRNA from 1 species